rnacentral:rRNA from 1 species
AUUGAACGCUGGCGGCAGGCCUAACACAUGCAAGUCGAGCGGAUGAAGGGAGCUUGCUCCUGGAUUCAGCGGCGGACGGGUGAGUAAUGCCUAGGAAUCUGCCUGGUAGUGGGGGAUAACGUCCGGAAACGGGCGCUAAUACCGCAUACGUCCUGAGGGAGAAAGUGGGGGAUCUUCGGACCUCACGCUAUCAGAUGAGCCUAGGUCGGAUUAGCUAGUUGGUGGGGUAAAGGCCUACCAAGGCGACGAUCCGUAACUGGUCUGAGAGGAUGAUCAGUCACACUGGAGCUGAGACACGGUCCAGAGUCCUACGGGAGGCAGCAGUGGGGAAUGUUGGACAAUGGGCGAAAGCCUGAUCCAGCCAUGCCGCGUGUGUGAAGAAGGUCUUCGGAUUGUAAAGCACUUUAAGUUGGGAGGAAGGGCAGUAAGUUAAUACCUUGCUGUUUUGACGUUACCAACAGAAUAAGCACCGGCUAACUUCGUG